ensembl:lincRNA Gm14120 predicted gene 14120
GAAUUACGUUGCAAGAGACAGGGAGUAUUGGUCAAUAAGCAUCGCACCUCUGCUCCCUCCAGCCAGGGAAUAUCCUGCAGAGGGGACCAAGUGUGAUGUUAGAACCGACCCUGCACAUCGGGAGUGUUUUUCCCCAGCAGAAGGUUGGCAGGAAGACUGUCUGAAGGGCUCUUCCUUCACCACCAUGACAUUUACUGCAGCCUGUGGAAUAACAGCACAUGUCUGUAAAAUAUCACUUCAGGAUGGAAGGAGUUUCUGUUGAAGCAAAGAGGUGUUUUGGAAAAGUUGUUUGGCCAUAUGAGCCAAGUGUUGAUUCUUAUGCUUGCUGCCUUGUCAGCUCCCAGUGGGCAGAAACUGUCAUAGACAGGAAUGAGCUGCUGUGAGGUGAAGUCAGGGUGCUUGGAUUGAGCAGAAAACAACAAUAAAGAAGCUCUAUAUGGGUUUGCUCAACAGCCACUGAGGGAAGGACUCUAGCCCUACUGGCCAGUGAUUGACAUCAGCAAUGGCCCUGGGAUAGUUUGACGGACACUUUGCUCUUCUAGUUUUUCCUAUGAUGCUCACCAGGCCUGCUGAUGUCCUCCGCCAUGUGACUAGACCUCGAGCAAGGUCACAUCUAGCACUGUUUCUUUCUCCCCAGGAAACUGGUGAGGCCCACACAGCAGGGUAGGGAAGAUCUUAUGAUGAGAACCAGAGCUUCAACCCAGAAGAGCAGUGAGAGCAGCAAUGACUAAUUUGAUUAUCAACUUAUCAUGUUUUCAAACAUUCAUAACAACCAUGGGAGGGGGUCCCAGCGGUUAGGUCAAUCUUAUUCAAAGCUGAGGUACUGACGUCUGUAGAAACUAUCCUGGGUCAAGGUCAUGAUCUGGUGUGAUUUGAAUUCCAAUCGUUUGACUCUGCUCCAAUGCUUGAUGCAUGACUCGUGAAGCAGGUCUAGCCACAUAGGACAGACAUUCAGAGACUGAGGACAAGACCAAAGUGUUCUGCAUAUUGCUGGGUUCCAAACAAGCAUCAUGGCAAGGUUGGUUCUCAUGCCCAAGAUUCUAUUACAGUAAAAUAUAUGAAAGACAACUCACUGGAACUUCUUGGAGGAAAGCUUGCUAUCCAAGUACCAGCAUCAUGAGGCUCAGUGAGGACCUAGCUGUUUACUAAGUACAGAUCUUGGAUUGGGGAGAGGAGAGGGGGCUGUUCACACCCCUCUCCCCCCAAAGCCACAUAUUCAGAAGACAUGAUACUAGAGAUUGAAAUUCCCACUCCUAAAGCUCACAUUCUCUACAAUUACAAAUCUAUAAAGUGUAAAAUCUCCAAAACCACAAUUCUAAAACAUUAAAAUCCCACACAUUGAAAUUCCAAAGUCUGAAAUCCAUCAAACCUCAAGUCCUAUGGAGGGGAAUCCUGAAAACCAUAUGACGACAGCAAAAUCUCCCUUUCAGAAAUGCAUCACUUUCUAUACUCAUGAAUCCUUUCUAGCAGCUGAACUCUCAAGAGCAUCUAAAAAAACUAAAACUAUCUGCCUGGAGAAGCCAGGGAAGCCUCUGGCUGGUUGGAAAUGGUCCUGUGCUUGGUAGGGCAGGAUGCUGCUUAAAACACACUUCUGGUGUGCUUCACCAGGACUGUGCCCAAGACUUCACCAAGACUGUGGCAGAUAUGAGGACAUAUAAGAGGGGAGGAAGUGAAAGAGUUCCAUGUGACACAGAAGACAGGGACAUUUGAUAGUGGCUGCAGAGCCUGUCCAAAAAAAAAAAAAAAAAAAAAAAAAAAAAAACCAACAGCAUUUCCACUGUUGCCCAGGGUGUUGCUUUCCCAGCUGUCUUCCUCUUCUUCUGUUUUCCAUGGAAACUGAGACUUUGGGAAUUUUACAUUUGAAGAUUACAACAUUUUGGACUUGUAAUCUACUGGGAUUGUGAUUUACCAAAUGUUAGAUUUUAGGGGAUUUUGAUCAUUUCAUAUCAGUGUUUAUAACUGUGGUGUUCAGGACUUUGUACUUCUGGAGUAUGACUCAUACCAUAGUAGCCCAUCAUCCUGUAACAUUUCCAUGAGACAGGUAUCACAGACUAAACAGAACCCAGAAGCUCAGACUGUUAUAAAAUCAAAUAAGACUAUUAAGAACUCAUAAAUGCAAAAAAUUGGUUUUUUUUCAUAUUUACUUAGGAGUUUACAUACUUUGUUUUAUAAUAAUGGCAUUAUUAUUACUAUGUAAUAAUGACUGAUACUUUUUCUGCCAACUCUGGGAAACAUGAACAGCCCAGCAUGCCAAUGAACACAAGGGUCCUGUCCCUAGGACCCUAAUUGGGCACAGAGGGGUUCCUAUGACACAGUAAAAGAUAGGGUUCAGCUAGUUUAGGGAUGCCUGACAAUGGGAAGACAUACAUGCAAGAAGACAAAUAUAGUCAGAAAAUACCCCCCCCCAAGAUGCUAUAUAGUGGCGGAGCACAACUUCAGUCCAGCUAGCAGGCUACAGGUUAAGCCCUAAUAAGGAGCCUAAGGUUUUCUUCUGCAAAACCAAGAUAGGACUUCAGGAAAUGUGUCAGAUCAGUCCUUUUAUUAGAUUCAAGGUCCAGGAAAUAGUGUCAGCCUUACUGGGCAGCUGUUGAUUUCAUUACACAAAGGAUUCUCCUGGCUAGUCAGUGGGAACAAGCUCCUCCUUGUUGGGCACUCGAGGUCUGUGAGUCACUGCUAGUUGCCUAGGUGACAUGGUGCUUUGUCCCAAGCUGUUGUGCAGGGCUGGACAUUAGCUAUCUUACAACUAUGUUCUUGCCUUCUGCAUUUUUUUCUUGCUGUCAAAUACUACAUGCCAGAAACCCACUUUCAGAAAAGCAGUUAGGAUGGGGCUCAGUAAUGCUAACGUUUAGGGAAGACUGUUAAUUUAAAAGCUUUAAUAAAUGAUUGAAUAUAUGUC